UCUUUUAAUUCAAGAUUUUCCCUUCUCUUUCAGGAUCCUCAACAUGGACAGCUGGCAGGACUAACGCAAAUGGACUAUUGAUGAGAGCUGGUUUGCAGGUGUGGUUUUCUGUCCGUCCGUUUUAUAGUCUGUUCGAGUAUUUCAGGUAGGUAACAAAAAUAUAUAUUAUAAGAACCUUUUAAAUAAUUUGGUUUUUUUUCUUCUUUUAUUUUUUUUGUAUAUACUGGUUUCCGGCAACCUAUGAGUACAAAUUUACCGCGACACUAUUCAUAAGUAGGCCUGAGCUCAAUCCUAACCUUACGCGCACGCCUGGUUCAAUUUCAACCAGCGGACUGGCUUCGAGCUACUAACCGUAAGAAAUUAUCUAAAAGGACAGGUUCUGUCCGUCCUGUCGUUCGGGUAAGAGGUACACUUAUGUCGAAAACCUUAAUACCUGGACACCAUAGGACUGAUGGUGCGGAUCAGCUAAAGAAGUCCCUCGAUGGAUGGAGCUGGCGAUGGCGUGGCUCAGAGUUGGCUGAUUUAGCUUUAAUUUUCUGCUUUAUUUAGUUUUAUGAUAAAUGUAAUUUAGUUUUAAGUUCUAAUUUAUUUUGUUUUAACUUUUAUUUGAAACUUUAUGAAUAAACCAAAAACAAUGAAUUAUUUAAUUCAAAUUAAAAUUCUUGCUGUUGUUCUUGACGGCCACGGGCUCCACCUUCUUCUUGGACAGGGAAAA